rnacentral:rRNA from 1 species
UACGUAGGGGGGCAAGCGUUGUCCGGAUUUAUUGGGCGUAAAGCGCGCGUAGGCGGCGCGGUAUGUCGUGCGUGAAAUCUCCCGGCUUAACUGGGAGGGGCCGUGCGAAACUGCCGGGCUUGAGGUCGGAAGGGGAAAGUGGAAUUCCGGGUGUAGUGGUGGAAUACGUAGAUAUCCGGAGGAACACCAGCGGCGAAGGCGGCUUUCUGGUCCGAUACUGACGCUGAGGUGCGAAAGUGUGGGGAGCAAACGGG